GAUCUAGAAUCAUCUAGAAGACUGUUCCUUGGCCGUGCCUGUGAGGGGUUAUCUAGAUUAGGUUAAUUGAGAUGGGAAGAGUCCUUUUAUCUGUGGACACUACUAUUCUAUAGGCUGGGGUCCUAGACUAAAUAGAAUGGAGGUGGUUAGCAAAGCAUCAGCAUGCAUUAUUCUGGGCUUCCUGAUUGUAAGCACAACGUGGCUAUCGUGGCUCCUGCUUGCAUGACUUCCUGGCCAUGACUGACUGCAUUCGCAAACUGUGAGCCAGUUUACAGGUCUUAGUCACUUGUUUUUCUGGGAAAACAGUGAGAUGGAAGCCAGACACCUCUCCAUUCAAUAUGCAGUCGUUUGUCCUGUGGCUGCUGGUUUCAUGGAAGCCAGUGCGAGUAUCGACUCUCCUUUGUUCUCCUACAUAUCCUACAAGAAAAAGAGUCAGUUCCUAGGAAGAAACCUGCACAGAAGCCUUGUUAAUUAAGAAAGCACCACUUGGAAAAACACCAAAUUCAAGAGAUCUUGGGGUUUUGGAAUAAAAAAUUCAAAUUUGCUUGAAGGCAAGGAAAUUUUAUUAGACACACACAAAUACGUAAGCAAUGGGAAAACCUGCCUAUGUCAGCAACAAAGAAGAAGCGUGGUCUGAUGAAGAGCAUCUGAACUGGAACCAUCAGCUGGGUUUGGAAUGGACUGAUGAGAUACAGGCUGAUCUGUGUUCCCUGAAGCUGAUGUUACAGAUCCCUUGACUCACACUGGACAACUAUGUGAAACCUGGCCUAUUUUCCCUACUAAAUGACAAAGUAGAUAUGAGAGGACAGGAGAACCAGAAUGGAGACAAUUAAAAGUAUUGUUCAGAUUGGAGCCCCACGGAAAGGUUAACCAAACUUAAAAGAAAGUUCCUCAGGUUCUCUCACAUCUGCCCUAGCUCCAACCAGAAGAAGAGUCAGCAUGUCCCUGUUCUUGUUAGCAAGGAUAAAGAAACGAUAAAGGAAAAAAGAGAUUUAAAGAGGCCAGAGGAUGAUGUACAAGUUGCAACUAAAACGCCAGGAUCAAGUCCCUGGGGCUGAAACACUGAGUUUGGUGUGUAAAGUUAUCUGGACUGGAAGGAUCAAAUGUUGCAACAAUGGAUUAUGAGAGUCAGUUUGGCUGGGUUUGGGGCCAACCGAAAGCAGAGUUGCUGGGCAUGCCUGUGAGGGAUUUUCUUGAUCAGAUUAACUGGGGUUGGAAGAACUAGGCACCAGCCUUGCCUGCCUGGACUACUGAAGUACAGCAAGGACCCUGAGCAGGAGUAAGCCCACCUCUGUUAGUUCACGUCUCUCUGCUCCUGAUUGUGAGUGUCAUGUGACCAGCUGCUUCAAGUUCUUGUACCCUUGGCUUCUCAGCAGUGACGAGCAGGCUGGAACAGGGAACUGUAAGAGCAAGACCAGCAGUCUGGAUGCCAAUGGGGUUGUCGAGACCAUGGCAAGAGUCACCCGUGAUGAUGUUAGUAUAGACGCUUGCAGAAAGAACAUUAAGGAAAACUCAGCGCACCGAACUGGCCAGCAGUAAC